AAGCCCCCUCAUCUUCUCUCCUUCACAUUCAUAUGUUUUCUUUUCCACUUUUUUUGUUUUUGUUUUUGUUGGGGUUUUCACUUUUUUCAUAAAUUCUUUUGCCAUCCAACCAUAAAUGCAUUUCUCUCAUAUAUUUUGCUUUUCCUUUACUGUUCUCUUUUCUCUUCUCUCUCUCAACACCACCCACCCCAAAUCAAGAACCUCACCUCUCUCUCUUUCUCUCUCUCCAUCUUUAGCAUAGAUUUCCUCCAUUGCAAACCAAGCUUCCACCUUUACAGCUUUCUGAGGUCCCUAGUGCUUACACAUUCACAUUACCCACCAACCCAUUUUUACCCACCAUUAAAAUAAACUUUUUUUUCUCUCUCUCUGCAUUUGGCCUUACAAAGAUUAGAUUUUUGUCUGGCCGCAGUUUAUUCCCUGUGGUCCACUUCAGCCAAACACCCUUUAGUUUUUUCUCUUGGCUUUUGUGGGGUUCUUUAGUUUUCCUUUCUGCAUUGGCAUAUCUAUGCGUUUUGAGUCUCUGUUGGUUCAAAAAGAGGCAUUUCCUUUGCUUCUCAAAGAAGAAGAUCAAGGGGGUUAAUUAACUCUGGUUUCUAUAGAUCACUUUGUGUAAAGGUAACAACUUUAUUGGAUUUACAUCUGGUUUCAUUCUCUUACUUCAGUUUUAAGUCAUUCUUUCCUUUAAUUUAUGCCCAUUUUGAAAAGAUUUAAACUUGUUUUAAAUUAGUGAUUUUUACCUGAAUUCUUGAUUUGUUUCAAUCAGGAAGGGAAAGUGUUUCAUUGUAAUUUGUCACUGUUCUUAAUCUAAUUACUAGUAUAUGCUUUUGUGGAUAGUUGUAUCUUGAUGUCAGCUGCCACCAGUUUAGUUGCCCUGUCAAUGUCUUAUCUUUAACUAAUUGUACUUGGAAGUGUAAUUAAUUUAGACACUACCAACUACUUUGUUUCAGUAAAGUGUUAAAAGAAGUAAAACAAAGCCACAAAUUGUAGAAAUGCUACAGCUGUUGAUAUGUGUGAGUGAUGUUACUCCUCUUCACAGUGACCUAAAUUGUUAGUGGGAUACAGGAGGCAAUGGAGUAAAUCUGACUCUGCAAUUUGAAGGACAAAGCAGAAUUUGUGGAAAUGUCUUCUGGGGACUUAAACAGUGAAUUGUCUAAAAAGACAUCAUUUUUAGGUCUCAAAUUAUGGGUUGUGAUGGGCUUAUGUGUUGGUGUAUUUAUCGUUGGGAUACUCUGUAUGUUGUCAAUAUGGAUAACGUGUAGGAGAAAAUCUAGGAGAACACUGGACGGGUAUUCACAUUGCCAAAUACCCAAUGUUUCCAAGGAUAUCAAGGUUGAUAGAGUUGGCGCUGCAAAUGUUCACGAUCAUCCUCAAAGCUUAUUUCUGACUAUUAAUGAUAAAUCAAAUGAAACGACAUCGGAAAAGAUGUUAGUCCAUUUGGGUAGGAGCAAAUCAAGUGAUGCUGAUAAUAUCAGCCAAUGCAGUUCAAUAUAUCAUAACGAAAGGGCUUUUAGUUCGCAGUCUGGGGAAGAGGGAAGUUCAGGGACAGUGAGGAAACAACCAUCCUAUGGAAUUGCAAUGCCUUCUCCUUUGAUUGGCUUGCCAGAGAUCUCACAGCUCGGGUGGGGCCACUGGUUCACGCUUAGAGAUCUUGAACUUGCAACAAGUCGUUUCUCUGCAGAGAAUGUGCUUGGUGAAGGUGGAUAUGGUGUAGUUUAUAAGGGCAGGUUGAUCAAUGGGACAGAAGUAGCUGUGAAGAAGCUCCUAAAUAAUCUGUGAGUAUGGCUUUUAAGUAAUUCUAAGGUUCUGUACAUUCAUCUCCAUGAGUGUAUUAUUUACGGUCUAACGAUAUAUGAAUUGCUCCACAGCGGCCAAGCGGAGAAAGAAUUUCGCGUUGAAGUAGAAGCAAUUGGUCAUGUUAGACACAAGAAUCUAGUGCGUCUUCUUGGCUAUUGCAUUGAAGGUGUUCACAGGUAUUUCCAGAUUAAAUUGUGGAAUUUCUCUAAGUAUGUUAAAGUUUUGUAUGCUAUGACUCUUUAUUUUGAAUAGUCUACCACCAUGAUUUCAGCUUAAUUAUGCUUUCCUUAUCAUUUACUUUGUUUUGGCUACGAAGGAUGCUGGUUUACGAGUACGUCAAUAAUGGAAACUUGGAGCAGUGGCUGCAUGGCGCUAUGAGACAAUAUGGUACUCUUACAUGGGAAGCCCGUAUGAAGGUCCUCCUUGGUACUGCAAAAGCGUAAGUUUCAUUAAAUCUGCUACACAGUUUAAUCUUUUCUCCAAUUAUUUCACAUGACAUUCCAUUUUCCUUAAUAAACCUUUUACUGCUGCAAACACUCUUCUAACUCAUUUUACUCCAAGCCAAUGCGGCAUUGCCUCAAUCUUUUUUGUAUUUUUUAAUUCCUAAAAGGUAGUAGUUGCUUAUUAGUAAUAGCUAUAAGCCUUCUUUUCUGGCUCUUUCUUAAUAACUUUUACUUAUUUCUAUUAUCAGUGAAAAAGGAGAUAAACGGCAAAUUAUACUGCACACCUUAACGUGGAAUUUGUUUUAUUUGCAGGCUUGCUUACUUGCAUGAGGCCAUAGAACCUAAAGUAGUCCACCGAGACAUAAAGUCUAGUAAUAUCUUGAUUGAUGACGAGUUCAACGCCAAGGUCUCUGAUUUUGGAUUGGCAAAACUCUUGGACUCAGGAGAGAGCCACAUAACCACCAGAGUCAUGGGUACAUUUGGGUAUGAACUUCUCUAGUUGAAGAUAUUUUACUCCUACUCCAUCCACCUUUGCAUUUGUUGAGUUGUUUCCACAAUUAGAUACUCAGUUUUGUUUCUCACUUGAAUUUCAGCUAUGUGGCUCCAGAAUAUGCUAAUACUGGAAUGUUAAAUGAGAAGAGCGAUAUUUACAGUUUUGGUGUUCUAGUGCUAGAAGCAGUCACUGGUAGAGAUCCUGUGGACUACAGCCGUCCUGCUAGUGAGGUACUGAAAGAGAGUGAUGCAAUGCAUUAAAUUUCUUUUACUAACUUCACUAAUAGAGACUCAGGGUUAAGUACUCCUUUUUUCUCCUGGUUGCUGUUGCUUCUUGUAUUUACUAACAGGUAUUUGGUGGUUCACCUUUGGCAGGUUAAUCUUGUUGAAUGGCUCAAAAUGAUGGUCGGAAAUAGGAGGGCCGAGGAAGUUGUGGAUCCUAACCUUGAAGUUAGGCCUGGUACUCGUGCUUUAAAACGGGCGCUUCUGGUCGCACUGAGAUGUGUUGAUCCGGACUCAGAGAAGCGACCCAGAAUGAGCCAAGUAGUUCGAAUGCUUGAAACUGAAGAACUUCCUUAUCGCGAGGUAUACUCCAUAUCUGACUUUCAUAUCUCCACUCCAUAUGAUCUUUCUUUUUGUCUUCAUUUUGGCUAUAACGAAAGCUUCCUUUCAAGGAACCUGAGAUAUCAACCAAACCUUUUGGUGUCGUUUGGUACGCGGACUAAAUUAUCCCGGGAUUAUAGUCCCCCCCCUCGAUUAAUUCAUCCCACCUGGGAGGCGGGAUAAAAUAAUCCCGUUUCAUGGGAUAAGGUGGGAUAUCCAGGAUUGCGUUUGGGAUUAAAUUCAUACUGUGUGGUUGGAGGUAUAAAUUUAUCCUGUACCGCCAACCAAAUACAGUAUAAAUUUAAUCCCCCACCUUAAGCCGCGUACCAAACGACCCCUUAGAAUGUUUUCAAGUUAGAAAUAGUAUUCUAAAUAUUUGUUAGUAAGACAAUGCUUUAAGCCUGCUCUAGCUUUGCACAUCCAUAAAGAGCAGUGUAAAGUUUCUUAGCCAAAUGAAAAGGAAUAUUGGGUAAUGUAGAAGUUUUGCUUUUUUUGUGGUGAAUAGUACCACUGUUGUAUUUUGUCCAUGCGAACUGCUGACAUAACCUCAAAUAAGGUUGCAGUUAUAUCUUUUCACUCUGCGCUAUGUCCAAAUUUUAUCUUUUCGUUUGAAUCACUAGGCAUAUGAACAUUUUUCGUAUAAAAAACAACUAUACCUCAACUUUAAGCAAGUUGAGGUCGACUAUAUGAAUCCUCACCGUCUGUCGCUCUUUUAAGCUCGUUUUUAUUGGGGUCGGCUAUAUGAAUACUUUCAAAUCCAUGGUUGAUAUUUAUGUAUAUGGUUUUUCAAUGGGGUACUAUUCUUGAUCUUGAAAUAUAUUAAAAAGCAUAGUCUGAUGUUUGUAACAGGACCGAAGAAACAGAAGAAGUAGAACAGCGAGCAUGGAAAUAGAAUCAGUGAAGGAGAGUUGUUGCAGCUCAGCUGAGGUGGGGAGAGCAGAUAGCAGUACAUCUGAUACAAUUCUUGGAUAGGAACACUGACACAAAGGCACAUGACUCUUAAGUGGAAUGUAUAAUUGCAUCUUAACCCCACACACCAACCCCACAUUGAGAUUUAAAAGCUUUUUCAGUAACCCAAUGAAGGAUUUUCGAAGUUGGUUUCUGGAAAAGAUUCCUCUGAAUGACAGACGGAUUGAAUUUAUGAUAGGUCGGCCCACUUGGUAUUUCAACCAUUGGCUCUUCUUUCAGUGCUUCUCUUGGCAGUUUGUUGCAUCAAAAUUUGAGGAGUUGUUGCUGUGUCAUAAUACUAGUAGAGAGAGAUAGAGAGAAUAGAGAGAGAGAGAUUGUUGAUGUACAGAUAUAUAUUUUGAGGAUUAUGUGUUGUCCUUUCUAAAUACAUUUUGAUCAUCAUUCUUGUCUCUUUUGUGGGUUUUCACUUUAGUAUGUAUCUACAUUGGCAUGCCUCUUACAAUUUACUACUACAAGUUCUUUCCACACAAACUUCCCUAAUGUGGUGUUCUUCAUGUAGAGUAUUUUCACGAAAAUUGAUUUGUUGAUUAGUACUCCCUCCGAUCACUUUUACUUUGCACAUUUUAACUUUUCACGCUCUUUAAUAAAUAAUAAAUAAAGUGUAUAAUUUACCAUAAUACCUAUAUUAAUUGAUGCAUAUUUUAUUGGAUUUGAGAAAAUGAUUUGAAAUGAGUAAUAAAUACUGUGGGUAUAAUAGGAAUUUUUUUUGUCUUAUCUUGAUAUGUGUGAUAAGUAAAAAUGAAAAUCUAUUUUUAGUACUAAUGCCAAGUAAAAGUAAAUGGAGGAAGUAUUAGGUAAAAGAAUUGGCGAAGAGCGUGUCUUAGUGGUUAGUAAAGUGUUCGGAGAACCAUGAGGUCUCAAGAUUAAAUUCCGACAAGGGCAGAAAAGUGGCGGAUCCGCAUUAUAUAUCAUAUGGGUGCUUUAGAACCCUUUGCUUUUGAAAGCAACACUACUACUUAUACAAAAAAAAUAAAUAGUAAUUUAUACAAAUAUUCUAACUAAGCAACCAGUCCAAGUAGCAACUUUCAAAAAAUAAGUAUAGUUGAGCACCCAUAAUCUAAAAAUCCUUAAUACGCCAUAGUAAAAGAUAUCUAGUAAAAUAAUCGACGUGCGUGCAUGCUGGCUAGGAUCAAAACACCACGUCAAAAAAAAAAGUUAACGUUAUUAUAGAUAGAUGAUAAGAUGAGAGGACAAUGCUUUGGUGACUUGAGAUAACUUUCGUACAUGAAUAGUUGAAGUUAUUUUUUUAAAUUUUGGUAGAAACAUUUCUUGGAAAAAGCAAAUAUUAAAUUAAUUCAAGGUGGCCAAAAAUGAUUUCAUCAAGAAGUUUUAUUUUCUGACUUAGAGCCCAUUUGGAUUGGCUUAAAAAAAGUGACUUUUAAGUAUAAGUGCUUAAAAACACUUUUUAAGUGUUAGAGCUUGUUUUAUAAAUCAACAGUUAAGUGUUUGGAUAAAAGUGCUGAAACUUAAAAAAAAUUAUUGAAGUGUUUGGUAAAUAAGUGCUGGUAAGCACUUGUUUCUGUAAAAUGACUGAAAUAUCCUUAAAGUUGUUAAUACUAUAAAGAAAAUGAUUAUGAUAAUAUUUUAUUCUAAAUUAAUACAUAUACAAAGAAUUAUAAUUUAGUUCAUUUUCAAUUUAAACUGAUUGCCUAAAUAUAAAUUAUUUAUUUAAAUAACAUGCAAUAAUCUAUUAUUUCACCAAAAUAUAUUUUUUCGUUUAAUAGCUUCAAAUUCUUUGUUAACAUGUAGACUCAUUGAAAAUAUUGAUUUAUAAUAUAGUUUCACCAAUUCAAAAAAUGAGGGAUUCAACAACAAUCUUUUAAAAAAAAUGUUAUGGAACCAAAAAAAAAAAAACUAAAACAAAACAAAGAGUUCCGCAGUGAUGGAAUUUGGAAGGCACAAAUUGGAAAUGGUAAAGGAAAGGAGAAAAAGAAAAGAUUAUGGAAUUUAGAAGGCAAAGAUUGAAAAUGGCGGAGGAAAGGAGAAAAAGAAAUGAUUGGGUAUUUUGAAAAUUAUACAUAAGUACCAGGGAUAGCAAUGUAAAAUAUUUGGUCAAAGAGGGGUGUCUUUUAAGCUAGAAAAAAAAAGUUGAGAUUCCCAACUUAUCACUUUUGACUUAAUUUGGACCUUUUGGCUUAAAAACAUUUGACCUUUAAGCAGAUUUUAAGUUUGCCAAACACCUCAAUAAGCUAAAAAAUGACUUAAAAGCUGGUGGUUUGACCAGCUUUUAAGCCCAUCUAUACAGGCUCUUAAAGAACACAUCAUUAUAUACGGCUUUUCCCAUUGUACAAACUGAGGAAACUACUUGCUAAGACACUAUGGGGUCGUUUGUAGGGUGUAUAAGAAUAGUGUGGAAUAAUGUGUAUUAGUAAUGCAAACAUUAGUUAUGCAAAUAUUAUUUUUAUCUAUUGUUUGGUGUGGUGUAUUAAAAUUAUAAUGCAUUGCAUAAUUUUUUUAAAAAAUAGUUGCUUUCAAAAAUGCCUUCCAUAUUUUCUAGUUUUAAGGGACUUUAAGAACAAUUUUGUUUUUAACCAUGCUAAUGCAUGCAUUAAAGCUUUGGUAUUACUAAUACCAUGGUUUUCUAUGCAUUACUUAUGCAUAGGAUAAUGCCAAGUAUAAUGUAUAACUAAUUAGUUAUACACAAGUUGAAAAAAGGUACCAAACAAGAUAUUAGUAAUGCAUAGAGCUAAUGCUUGCAUUAUUUUUUCUAAUACCUCCCGCCAAACCACCUAUAUGUCCUUGUUAUAGAUUAAAGAAAAGGUCUUUUGUACAAGUGAAGCUGGAGUAUGCUAUUCUCAUUGCGGUCCCCUCUUUUGGAUAAUCAAUCAAGUCGCAGCUGGCAGAAAUUUUCUUUAACUUAUAUCCACAAAUAUCUUUGAUUCACAAUGAUUGAACGAGAGUCUUAGCGUAAUUGAUAAAAUUGCUAUCAUGUAACCAGGAGGUCACGAGUUCGAGCCAUGAAAACAGCCUCUUGCAAAAAUGCAGGGUCAGACUGCGUACAACAGACCCUUGUGAUCCCGCCCUUCCCCGGACCCCAUACAUGGCGAGAGCUUAGUGCAUCGGGUUGCCCUUUUACAAUGAUUGAGAGAGAGAGAGUUGUCACAUGUAGCUGAUUGUAUACUUUACCACGCUCUGCAGCAUUUGUCCUUGUGAUUGUGGGACACUCACUCCUACAGAUUGCGCAAAUGGCAAAUCUUUGGCCUUACAAUGAACUUCAACAGUGCCACAAUUUAAAGUGAAAAGCUUACUAUAGUACUACUAUUCCUUACAAAAACGCGCAGUUACUUCAUCUUUUGGCUUAUUCAUAACGUGUUAGGGGUAUUUGUUAUGUUAAAUGGGUUUCAGUUAUGUUCCGCUAGUGUUGAAGCCAUAUGCCGAUCGAUUUCCGAAUGAAUUAUUGGGAAUUUGUUGAGUCAAGUAAUGGUGAUCAAUGUCUUGUCUAGCAAUAAUGUAAGACGUUGUAUGCCAAUUUGUUUCCAUUACCCAAAUAGGCAUAUGGUUUAAUUAAUAGCUAAGGCUUGAGCUGGGACCCUGGGAGAUUGGUUUUAUUCAACAUCAAUACGUUUAUCACGGGCUCAUGCACAAGCUAUAGGAUCUGGUCCCAAAAUAUGAAAAGCCACAUUUAUUGGUUCCGCGAGUUCAUUUAGUUAGUCUAUUAGCCUAUUCAGAUCCCGUUUGUAUUUAUUAAAAUUAUAAUAUCUGAAUCUGACUAAUUGAAAACUUGUACUAUAUAUUUUUUAAAUGCAAGAUACAUAUUAAUUUUUACUAUUUUCAAUCAUGAUUCAUGUUAAGACUUCAAAUCACAAAGUCCAACCUCACAAGUUUUUGUCAGCCAUAUACGGAAUUAACAUGGCAGAGUUAUAAGUUUGACAACGUUGUUAACCCUCUUGAUGCUGUCAAAGUUUGUGCCUUUAAAGUUUAAAGGUUCCUUAAGUUGAAAAUCAAUAGUCGUUUGUUUGAGAUUUUGGAGUUUUUGAGUAUGGAAACUUGUUUUUUGAGUUUUUUACGGAAGACUUGCGAAUUGCGGUUCACACAUCUAAAAUCCAAAAUGACAUGGGACAAGGGCCUGGCUUGUUUCGUUGCUUCAUUUGUUUUUACAUGGCAAACUUCAUGAAAACUUAUAAAGAAAAUAGAGUCUUUAUCCUCAUCAUCAUCGCUUGUUUGAAUACCUCGGAUCUCACUACUAGAAAUUCGGUAAUUAGCGACCCAAAAAAGCGAUCAAUGUUGGUCGGUUUAGCCAAAUUACCGACCAAAACUCGUCCAAACAGGCUUGGUCGCUAUUUUGGUGGUCGUUUUAGCAUACCGACCAAGGUUGGUCGCAAAAAUAAAAAGACCAACUGUGCAAUUUAAAGCACAAACCGACCAACUUUGGUCGGUAAUAAUAUUUAAUAAUUUAAUUUUACCGAACAAAGUUGGUCGGUAUAUUUAAAUUACGUUAUGUUAUUAAUUGUUAAAAUUUAAAAAUUAGCGAGCAAAGUUGGUCGGUAAAGUAAUAUAUAUAUAUUUUUAAAAAAAUUAAAAUUUAACCAUACCGACCAAAGUUGGUCGGUAAAGUUGAAAUCUGGGCAAUCCUUGUUCAAUAACCGACCAACAUUGGUCGGUAAUUUUUAUUUUUAUUUUUUAAAAUUAAGCAACUAAGGUUGGUCGCUAAUCAACAAUUUUUUUUUUAAUUAGGAACCAACCAACUUUGGUCGGUUUUCUUGGUUUUAAUUUUGGCAGAAAAUGCCUGUUUUGGCAGCUACACCACUUGCCGGCAUACCAAAAUCUCUAAACAACAACAACACAACAACAACAACACAACAACAACAACAACAACAUCAACAACAACACAAUUCAAUAAAUACAUUAAAACUAACAAAUUAAAGUUCAAUGGAACUAAAAAAUCCAAAACCAAGUUCAAACUUAUUACAAUUAGUUCAAAACCGGUUCUACUUGUCUAGUUCAAAGUAUAUAAAAGUGAAGGAGUGUUUUGUACAACAUCAUCAUCAUCGUCUGAUGAACUUUCAUCUAAAAGACGGUGUCGAGAAGGGUCUUGUGGAGGACGGGAAGAACGACCACGGGGAGGUCGAGAGAAAUGAUCACGGGGAGGACGGAAGGAACGCUCACGUUCAAGUCGAGUCUCUGGUGAUGACUCACGAGACCGGAGCAACGAAAAAGCUCCAGUAGAUAGGAGAGUUCUGAUCUGAGCUUGCAUGCCAAGGAACUGAGCAUCUCUAAUCCUUUCUCUUUCCUUGGCCACUUCUAGCUCGGAUGUGAGCUUUGUCAUAGUCUCCCACAUAGCGGAGAGGCUCUCCCCAUCAAGUUGCUCGCCUUGCGAGGAAGUCCCUAUUCCUUGCAUUCCACACUUAUAGCGAUGAAAUUUCUUAGUAGGAAGCCCGUAUACCUUCCCUAUUUUGGACCGCCAGCAGACUCCAUCUAUAUUCUUUUAGCAUCCUCGUCCGAAGGUUGGAUUGGCUCGCCCGAUUCACCAGCUGGAUGAGUGCGGAUGAAUUCCUCCACGUUAGUUUGGUAGCGACCCUAUACGGAAAUUUAAAUUGAAUUAGUAUUUCAAAAUUUAUAUAAAAGUAAAUUAAAAUACUUAAAGAAAAGUGAAAGCUUACAUAUACAGUCGAGGCCCAGUCCUCGACCCAUCUUUAUUGAUCCGUCUCUUUCUUCUUCUUUACAAUAUGCGUCUCCUUGAAUAACUCAUCAUGGUUUAUUGGACGCCCCAACUUCUUUUCCUGAAAACAAAUUAAUUUAGUUAAUAAACAUAAUAGAUAUAGUAAAAUUAAAAUAAUUUAAGCAAUUAUAUACCAAUCUUCUUUUUAUUGUCCCUAGGAUGAUCGCACCUCCAGUGUGCAAGGAGCCCCCCUUCUCAGAUGCGUGAGCUUUCUUUCCUUUUUCGCUCUUCUCUAAGAACUUUUACGGUGAGUGAUUGCCUUUGCAAAUCAUCCUAUAAAUUUUGAAGUAACCAAUCAGGCUUCUUGUUCUUCUUUCUAGCUUCGGAGAAAGUAUGUGACAAUUGCUUGUGAGCUUUGUGAUGGAAAUUUGCAGCCACUUCCGCGCUAUAGCGGUGUUCCCAUACACACUUGCUCUGUAUUUCAAAAGUUAAAUAUUAUAUGAAAAUAUCAUAAAUAUAAAUUAUUAAACUGUUUAAAAGAACAUUUAUGCCUUAAAUUGAUUGAAAAUUUGCUCCUUCAACGAGAAUGAAAAAUCAGUCCAAGUCGCACAAGGUCCAUCAUAAAGCUUUCUGAUGGCUUUGGUGAUUAUCCUCGUAGUCUUAUUACUCGGGAUGAACCUGCAAUUUAACAAUAAAACACAUUAAUAUCUUAGUAAAAACUUUACAAAACAAUAAAUGCAAAAAUAAUAAAUAACUCUUACCCAUCACCCUCAAGGACUAUGAUGAUCCUGCCAUAUCGAUCAUAAUGCACCUCCUCGUCAUCAUCCGCAUCAUCGUCCGAAGCAUGUAUAUCAGAGGCAUGUGUGGGCGGUGUAGGGGGGUCAGAGCUACUACCUCGCAUGCGAAGGCCUGAAAUAGAUGGAGUCGAUGAUGAAGAUGGUUGCGAUCCCUAUGACUGAGACAUAGCUGGAUGGACCCCAAGUGGCUGUGAUACUGAUGGCUGUGACCUGAGUGGCUUUGAUCCAUGUGGCUGUGACAGAUGGCUGCGACCCACGUGGUUGUGAGGCAGCUGGACUGUAUGUCGGACGUAUAGUCCUAUGGCCCUGUGAUGAAAGACCUGGUGUUUGUACGAAGGUAUAGGGCUCGUGAUGCUAUGGAAGCUCAGUAUAGCCGUCGGGUGGAGGAUAAGACAUAGGUAUAGGUAUAGGCAUCUCUGAAGAGGGUGGAGCAGAUGGAGUAUUAUUUUCUACCCUCCUCUUUCCCUUCCUAGCCUUUUCUCGACCCCGAGAACCAGUAGGGUUAUUGUUACCUUGAUCCUUGCCUGCCAUUUGCAUAAUAUAAUACAUAUUUAGAUUGAAACAUAUAAGAAACUAGCUAUAAAAUGAGAGUUAUUUAAAAAACCAACUUUUUAAAUCUCUCGACGUAUUGUUCCUUGUCCGAUAAUUCUUCGUCCUCACUUGUUUGAGCUUUAUCAGUUGAUUCUUCGUCCUCAUUUUCUAUAAUUCUUACUUCAUUUAUAUCAACUUCUUCCAAUAUGUGUUCAGGAUAUUCCAAAUCAUUUUCUAGCUGAUCGUCCACUAUUUAGUAAACACUGGAGAUAUCGUUUUGAUAUGCAAUAUCUAACACAUUCUUGACUUUCACCCUACCUACAGGCUUAGUUUUUAUUACAACCCACCAAUCGGACUUAUUCCGCUGCAAUGGAUAAGGAGCAUAAUACACUUGCCUAACAUUAUGUGCAAUUAUGAAACGAUCAUAGCAAUCAUACUCCCUCGUAUGACUAACCUCAAUUAUGUUGUAUUAGUUGUAUACUCUUGUACCUCUUGUUGGAUUUGGGUCAAACCACUUGCAUCUAAAGAGUAUCAAUUUCUUAUAUGGCCAACAUGUAUAUUCUAGUUCUAUUAUUUCUUUGAGCACAUCUUAAUAAUUAAUAUCUCCAGCUUGGUUGUCAUCACCACCUUGAACCCACACCCCGCUGUUGUUGCUAUUUUUAUUUUUAGAGCAAUCCUCUGUAUGGAACUUAUAACCAUUCACUACGUACUUAGACAUUGUUGUGACCUGAAGCCCAGGUCCCCAAGAUAUAUCUAUCAAAAUUGAUUUACACUAUUAUUUGGAUCAUUUACCUACAUAGUGUUAAAAAAAUUCAUAAGUUAGCAUAACUUACAAACAUUAUUUACUUACAUAGUGUUAGAACAUUAUCGGGAUAAACUUACAAAUUGUUUGAACCACGUAUCAAAUCUCGUAUAUACAACAUCAUGGCCAAAUUGACCCACAAAGUGACUAUGACACAUCAAAUAUUUUUAGUAGUUGCAUCGAGAUGUAAUCACAAUAAAUUUUAUAUUUUGAUAACUAAUAAAUCAAUACUUACUUGAGAAAUGGUACAACUUCGGGACAAUUUAGCAACACAUGAAGUGUAGCUGACUUGUACUCCAUAUCACUCAAACUUCUCUUACUAACAUCCUUAGAAUAUCAGCCUGGUUGAUUGAAUAUGGACAUUGGCGGAUAUAAUAGAUCAUUCACACAUUUGAUGUGUGCCUAUUGGGCCUAUUCCUAGAACAUGGAACGUUACUCCCAAAAUAAUAAGAACAAAAAUGAGCAAUUUCCUUUGCAAGAUAAGCUUCACAUAUAGAUCCUUCAAUCCUAUUCCUCUGCUUAAUAAAUUGUUUGCAUUUGCCAAUUGUCCUACACAAUGUCAUGUUAGCCGAGAACAUUCAAAUAAAACAAAAAAUUACAUCAAACUUAUAAUAUUACCUCUCAAAGGGAUACAUCCAUCUGCAUUGAACAGGCCCUCCAAGUCAUGCCUCGUGUACAAGGUGGAUUGGAAGGUGUUCCAUCACAUAAAAAAAAAC
rnacentral:lncRNA from 1 species